GCUUACGGCCACACCGCCUGGUUCACGCCGGAUCUCGUUUGAUCUCGGAAGCUAAGGUAGGUUGGGCCUGGUUAGUACUUGGAUGGGAGACCGCCUGGGAAUACCAGGUGCUGUAAGCU
ensembl:rRNA 5S_rRNA 5S ribosomal RNA